rnacentral:tRNA from 1 species
GUUGUUUUAGUUUGGUAGUGAGAAUUCCACGUUGUGGCCGUGGAGACCUAGGCUCAAAUCUUAGCAACCACA